GGAGGAAGAGGGGCCGGGAACUCGCUACAAAGGAGGAGGCGGAGGGAGGAGGAGGACGACGAAGAGGAGGAGGAGGAGGAGGAAGAGGAGGAGGAGGAGGAAGCGCACGCCCGCCCGCUGCCCUGCCCUGCGCCUGGGGCUUGCUAGCCCGCCGCCGGGCACCGCCGCUCCCGGAGCCCGGGCCUGGCGCCCCGGCCCCGCGGCCUUAACCCCUUCGCGCCCGCGGACGCCACGCGUCCGGGAGAGGCCGGGCCCUGGCACCUGCUGGCUGCUGGCGCGCGCGGCCACCCCGGCGCUCGAGGGCCCCGUUGGCCCGGGGACGCUGCUGAAGUCACACGCCAGACGACCGAGGCGCCGCGUGGGCCGAGAAGCCCGCGGGCUCGCCCCCUGGAGGUUGGCGACGUCCGCCCCGGCCGAGACUGCCGCGCGGCAGCGGAGAGGGGCGUGGCGGCCGCAGGCCUCGCCGGACCCGCGCAGGGUCGCGGGAGGGGGCCGCGCUAGCAGUCUUUUGAACCUAAGUCCCGCAGCGAUUGGCCAGCCCAGAGGGAAUUGCAGCCAGUUUCACAGAGGAGGAAACUCAGGACCAGACUGGGAAGUGACUUAGACAAGGGCACACGGCCAUACUUGGCUCCAGGCGCUUCUCCUGGCGCCCGCUCUUUCCACGUCGCCACGAGGUCUCCACGGAACCCCAUGUUAUAAAAGCUGUCUUCUCGAGGUUGGACGAACCCUGCCCUAGGACAAAAUCCUGCCAGGACCCCCUGGAGGUGGGAAGAUGAGUGUUUUCUGCCAUCAUCAGACAUGGAGACCCAAGGUCAAGGAUUUCAAGGAUCACCUCUGCGAAGAUGCUUGCUGAGGUGACCACCAGAGGAGCCUCUCCCUGCAGGUGACACUCUGCCCUGAGCCUGCUGGGAAGGGCACAGAGCCCACCGGAAAAAUGACUCCUGAGCCGAAGAACACACAUCGGUCCCCACACUGUGAGUUUUUGGCACAGGGAGAAGGGAGAGGGGGAGGACGAUCUGUCACUGCCAGAGCCAAGCCUUCCCCUCUCUGCACCUCAGUCUCCCCACCUGCAAAAUGGGAGCAAAGCUCCCCAGGGUGACAGCACCAAACAAGGGUGAGGGUGUGGAGACACAGGGACUCUCCUUCAUCGCUGGUGCAAACGCAAGGUGGCACAGCCACUUUGGAAGACAGGGUGACGGUGUCUUACCAGACUAAACAUACUCUUACCAUACGAUCCAGCGAUUAUGCUCCUUGGCAUUUACCCAAAGGAGUUGAAAACCUACAUUGACACAAACACCCACACGAGGUGUUUAUAGCGGUAAACAGCCUCGUUCGUAAUUGCCCAAACUUGGAAGCAACUAAGAUGUCCUUCAGCAGGGGAGUGGGUAACCCUCAACAGUACAUCCAGACAACAGAAUAUCAUUCAGCACUAAAAAGAAAUGAGCUCUCAAGCCAGGAAAAGACACGGAGGAACCUGACGCGCAUGUCAUGAAGUGAAGGAAGUCCGUCCGAAAAGGCCACAUACGGUAUGAUUCCAGCUACAUGACCUUCUGGAAAAGGCAAGCUAUGGAGACAGCAAACAGAUCAGAGGCUGCCAGGGGCGAAGGGGGAGAUGGGAGGAAUAGGCGGGGCACAGAGGAUUUUGGAACAGUGAAACUAUUCUGUAAGCUCCUGUAACAGUAGGCACAGGACAUCACGCAUUUGUCGAAACCCACAGACUGAACGACACCAGGCAGGAACCCUGAUGCAAACUAUGGACUUUGGGUGACAAUGACGUGUCAGUGUAGGUUUAUGGAUCGUAGCAAAUGUCCCGCUCUGCCCUGUGCAGGACGUUGAUAGAAAGGCGAUGUCUGUGUUUGGGGGCAGGGGUGGGCGGGCAGUCUGUAUUUUCUGCUCUAUUUUGCCGUCAGCCUAAAACUGCCCUAAAAAAUAAGAAUCUAUUUUAAAUGUCUGUUUAUGUACUUUUGAGAGAGAGAGAGAGUGCAAGGAGGGGAGGGGCUUAGGUGGGAGACAGAGGAUCCCAAGCAGGCUCUGCGCUGACAGCAGAGAGCCUGAUGCGGGGCUCGAACUCACAAACCGUGAGACCAUGACCUGAGCUGAGGUCGGACCCUUAACCGACUGAGCCCCCAGGCGCCCCAAUAAAAACCCAUUUUAUAAAACAGAGGCAAGGGGAGCCUGGGUGGCUCAGUCGGUUGAGCGUCCGACUUCGGCUCAGGUCAUGAUCUCACGGUUCAUGAGUUCAAGCCCCAUGUUGGGCUUUGUGCUGACUGCUCAGAGCCUGGAGCCUGCUUCGGAUUCUGUGCCUCUGUCUCUCUCUGUCCCUCCCCUGCUCUCUCUCUCUCUCUCAAAAAUGAAUAAACAUUAAAAAAAGAAAAAAAAAUAACGGAGGCAAAAUGACCAGGUCUCAGGCUAGGAUAAACAAGCCUGUGCCCCUGGAGACAGUUUGUAGACAGCAAGUCAGUUUAUUAGUAUGAGGGACUGGUGAUACUAUGUUCUUAAAUCCCAGCUGUGCCAGAAAUCGGCGGUGGAGUUCAGGUCAGUCAUUUUGACUUUUUGGGUCCCUGUGUCCUUAGUUACAAACCAAGAAAAAAAAAACUUGCUCUUUGUUCCUGUCCCCAUGACAACCUCUCAGAGAGUAAGUAGUGAUAAUGAUGAUAAUAGCCACCAUUUAUGUCUAGGCACUGUGUUAAGCACUCUAUACUUAUUAUUUCAUUUAAUCCUUACAACCAUCCGGAUUUUGCAGGUGAGAAACUGAAGCAUGGGAUUGGGGUAAAGCGGGGAGCAGCAGGUGGGGUGGGGAGCAGGCAGCUCGCCCUGGGUCACCCAGCUAGUCGGUGGCAAAGAAGGUUCUGGAAGCCCCAAUGCUUGUAUUCAAUCUCCAGGUUUACCCCAUGCCUUCAGGGGUUGGCCCCCCCCCCCCGUUGCCUGAUCCCUGGGGAUUAGCUUCAUAAUAACAAAUGAGGACCAUAACCAACAUCCCUCUAGGACUCACCGUGAGCCAGGACUAUCCUUUAAAGCAUGUGACAUACAUCAUCUCACUUAUUCCUUACAAGAACUCUGUGAAACCGGUUCUGUUUUUAUGCCCACUUUCGGAUGAGAAAAUUGAAGCGUGGAAGUCAAAGAACAGGAAGCGUCAGACCCAAGAAGGAGGGUGGGGAUCAGCGGGUUGGAGUUUUUUAUUGAAUACUUUGCAUCACUGUACCCCGCCCCCCAGGUCCUCGAGCUGCUACGAGGUCAGUAGAGUCAGUCAUGAGUGAGCAAGAGAGAGAGAGAGAAAUGCACACUGUGCUGAGCUGUUGCUGCAAAAUCCUUCCUUUUGGAGCCCAGCAAAUCGAUAGUCAAGAGAGGCCAAACCUGGGCCCCCAGCGCCCUGGCUCCUGCCACAUUCACCCCAGGAGCACCGGGCAGCACUACUGGGCUCCUCCCCCCAUGUGACUUCUGCUGCCACAUUCCAGGCCAGGAAAGGAAAGCCAGGAGCAGGGGAGUCUAAGUUGCUCUUUCGCCACUCCAUGGAGGAGGCCUUUGGAGAAUGGAUGGGUCACAGCCUAGGGAGGGGGCAAGCAGGAGCCUGGAGCAGCGAGGCAUCCAGGGCCAGAAGCAAGUCUUUGCAGCCUGUGACUCCCUGCAGGUGUGACCCGAGGCUGGAGGGGAGGGGACGGCCCCGGGGUCUCUACAGGCACCUCCUGUAUCCACAAGAUUGAGACAGGAUUUUAAGUGGGGGCCCCUCAGAGAGGAUGUUUUGGGUGGUGGUAAGGAGCAUCAGACUUCAGAGUCAGCCCCAUCUGAGUCCAAAUCCUGUCUCUGCCACUCGCUGGCUGUGUGACCUUCGUUGAAUUACCUAACCUCUCCGGGCCUGUUUCCUCUUCUAUCAAACAGAGAAAAUGAUUGACAGCAGCCACCUGCUGGGGCAAAGUCUGUCCCUGGCCUGGGAUGGAGACUGGACAGAGUAAGGACUCAGGAUAUAUUGGCUGCUUAUCUGCUAUACAUUGGGAUUCCGAAUAAUGCCUGCCUUGUUGUGAAGCUUAAAUGAGUAGCAUCCAUGAAAAGUGCUUAGGAAGGACCCCGGCACAGAGAGGGUGCUAUCUUUAACAUUAACACCCUCUUUGUUCCCACCCUUCUCACGUGUGCAGGGCACCUAGGGCAUGGGGAAGGGGCUGCUUGACUUCAGGAUGCAAAGUGCAAAGCUGCCUCCCCGCAGCGGUGACGGAAAGACGGAAAGACGGGGCUGCAGGAAUUCGUUAGCGCAAUUAACACCGUGAGGCUCCCUUCUGCUCUCACCCUGGUCUGCCUCCCUGCUGGCUUGGGGCCAGGAACCACAUGGCAGAGGAAGCAGCCAGGCCCAGGGGAUGAGGGGGAUGUUGUGGAACCAUCGGCUAAGACUGGGGGCCCCCCAGCAGGUAUUAUUCCUAGCUGGGCAGGAAGGUUCCAGAAAGCAGUGAGGCAGACACAGAGCAUCAGGCAGGCCUGGUCUUGGGGCCACAGACAAAUGCCUCUUCCAGGCAGUGACCCUUUCUAGUGCAUCUGACAUCUGGUGUGGGGGUCAUCCCCUCCCUGACACAGCGAACUUGUAGCUAUGCUCUUGUAAUGAAAGAAAUAAUAAAAAUGGCUGGAAAAGAAACACA